rnacentral:lncRNA from 1 species
AUGCUGAUGGAAGUUUGUUCCAAACAGCAGCUGAAGAAAGAAGUGGAGACACAUCUGAGCAAAAAUCAAGGAUGGGAAAGUUCAGAGAAUGCCAUGAUGACAGAAGUCCCUUGUAAAAUGAGAGCAGGAGAAACUGCAAACAGAAACAAGUCCAUUGUCAGCCUGGAGCCACCACUCCCCCUUCCAGAGGAGUCUACUUUAGCUCUGAAGCUGGAAAUAAAACAGCUCCAUGAAGGCCUGGAUUCUGGAUCACAGCCUGUAGCUCCACAGUCACACCUGCCCGUGGGAAUUUUAACACAGUGUUCCCCAGGUGCUGCAAUUGGGUCAUCAGCUCCACCAUGGGGCUCAGGAACAGGCAUGGCUCUGUGGGAGCUGGCAGCAGACACCACCCAGGGCACAGGAAUGGAAUGUUAUUUAUCAUCUCCAGGCAGACUCUGGAGCAGGAGCAGUUCUGUAUUAUGGCUUUUCUGCAGCACAGUUCCCUGUGGCCAGAAGCAAGGACAGGACUGCCAACAUUACCAUGGAAACCCCCAAAAAUAA